rnacentral:tRNA from 1 species
UGCCGUAGUAAUCGUAGUCGGGGCGGCGGCCGAGGCGGGAGAACCCCCGUGACCGGGGUUCGAAUCCCCGCCCGGCUACCA